AAAUUUUUUUUUUUCUUUUAUGUAUAUGUUGUUUGCUUAAACGGACCAGCACUCUGCCUUGUGGCGGGGGCCAAAGUUGAAUCAAGUCACGUUCGAAAUGGCAGGAGGUUAGGUUGGGCCAAGUCAUCUUCGAAGUGGCGCGAGAUUGUUAGGAUCAAGUCACAAUCGAGAUCCGCAGGCGCUGUGUCUGUACGUUUUAAGUGAAUUAGUUGCAUAUUUUUAAUAGCUCGAGUUUUUGAAAUUAAUGGUUAGUGCUAACGAUCCGAUAAGUGGUAUCAGAGUCAGAAGCCACAAGUUCGAUUAAGUAGUAUUAGAGCCAGAAGUCACAAGUUUGAUUCCUGAGAGAGGAUUGUUAGUUAUCAUAUCAGAGCUAGAGGUGAUGAGUUCGAUUCCCACUGAGAAGGGAUUAUUGGCUUAAUCGUAUGAAAAAUACAACAAUAUUUGAGCAAAACUAAUAUUUUAUAAAUAAUAAAUAUGUAUUAUUAUUGGCUUAAUAUAACAAUAUUUUAGCAAAAUUAAAAUUUUAUAAAUAAUAAAUAUAUAUUAUUAUAUUAAUAAUAUUAUAUAUUUAUUAAUGGUAUUCAUGUCGUGUCUGUAUCGUAAUUUUUUUGGAACUCAUCGAAUCACCAAGAUAUUUAUAACGCCUAGAUAUUUAAUCAACUAAACUAAAUUAGAUUGUGAGACUACAAAUUCAGAGAAAUUGAGCCAAAAUUGGAGGACCAGAGCGUCACGUAAAUUAGAUUGUGAGACUACAAAUUCAGAGAAAUUGAGCCAA
rnacentral:lncRNA from 1 species